rnacentral:rRNA from 1 species
UACGAAGGGUGCAAGCGUUACUCGGAAUUACUGGGCGUAAAGCGUGCGUAGGCGGUUUGUUAAGUCCGUUGUGAAAGCCCUGGGCUCAACCUGGGAAUUGCAGUGGAUACUGGCGAGCUAGAGUGCGGUAGAGGAUGGUGGAAUUCCCGGUGUAGCGGUGAAAUGCGUAGAGAUCGGGAGGAACACCCGUGGCGAAGGCGGCAUCCUGGACCGGCAUUGACGCUGAGGAGCGAAAGCGUGGGGAGCGAACAGG